rnacentral:rRNA from 1 species
CCCUUAGAUGUUCUGGGCCGCACGCGCGCUACACUGAUGCAUUCAACGAGUCUAAAACCUGCUCUGAUAGGGGUGGGUAAUCUUUUGAAUGUGCAUCGUGAUUGGGAUAGAUGAUUGCAAUUUUUCAUCUUCAACGAGGAAUGCCUAGUAAACGCAAGUCAUCAGCUUGCAUUGAUUACGUCCCGGCCCUUUGUACACACCGCCCGUCGCUCCUACCGAUUGAAUGAUCCGAUGAAUAUCAUGGAUUGAGGAUGCAAGUAGGUUAGCCUAUCUUCAUCUUCGAGAAGUGAAGUAAAUCUUAUCAUUUAGAGGAAGGAGAAGUCGUAACA